UUUUACAGAUGGAAGACAGCAAGACACGGAGAUACUAAGCCAAAAAAUAUGUAUUAAUUGUUUGUGCCUGCCAUGGGAUUCCUUGGAUCUAAUUAUUCAAAGUACUUUAAAUUUUUGUAGCAUUUAUGUUCAAUGAGCAGCUCUUCAGUAGGAGCACUGAGAUCUCCUGGAAAUCUGGCCCCAGGUGUUUCAAGAUAUAGAAUCACCAAAAAAUGGAGGGAAGAACCUCAGGGAGUCAAGUCCAGCACCCUGCUGAAGAUCAGAUGUUUCAGCCUUUUGACAUCACCAGGGCAGACUGAAAUGAUGGGAAGAAGAAUUGGACCUCACAGCAUGGAAGGAGGAAGCAUUAAAUAAAAAAAAAGAUCAGAGCCCUGGAAUGGAGAACACUGAUAAAAAAAAAAAUAUUUCUAAUUUCUUGGGAUAAGCGAGGAAACCUGGAUAUAGAAACAUCUCAGUCAACACUAUGAUCAUAUCCUAAGCUUCUUCCCUACUUUUUAAAAAAAUAUAUACAUGCACAAAUCAGAACAUAUUCCACUUAAGAUUUCAGAUUCCAAUUAAUUUCCACAUGAUAUUUUAGUGCAAUACUCACUGUUCCUUAAACAGCCUAAUAAUUUUUUAAAGGCUGGUCAGCCAUUCUUUUUUUUUUCUUUCCUAUCAAUAAUGGCACUUCUUAAAUUUACAAAACCUUUAAGGAAGAUUCCAUCAGAGAUCAGCCAUUUAUUUUCCUAGAUUUGUCCUUGAAAUUCUGAAAGACUCUCCAAAGGUAUGAUUUAAAGCACUAAGAACUUGCUCAGUUGGGGCCAAUCUUCAGCGGGUGCAACUUAUCAUUGCUCCAGCAAAGUCAGUAGAGUUAUUUUGUCCCUAUACUCCAAAGGAAAUCAACAUGAAUAAGAGAAAGAAGGACUUGUAUUUUCUGGAGAAUAAUCACUGAAAACAGCCAGUUUCAUGCCCAAUAGUUCAAUAUCACACAAAUAGUCCCUCUGAAAUCCUAUGGGUUAAGGCAAGGUUCAGCAACUUUGGAUCCAGCCUACAGAGCUGUGGCUUUAGUGGAGGGGGAGCUCUGUCUGUGCCAUGCUGCAGUGGGAGUCCUGGAAGUGUGGGGUAGGGAGAAGGGGAGAAGGUGGCCAGGUUCUACUGUUGGCCUGGCUCGCUGCAGCUUCAAGCUGGGUCAUUUUGGCCCUCUCCCUACAUACCCCCAGAAAAUGUUGGGUUAAUGUAUUACCCAACAUGAAAAAAAAAAGUAUUUGAAACUGAUCCUAAAUCUAUAAACUGAACGCAAGGAGAAAAGAGAGUCCAGAACUGAAAUAACAGUGGCUAUAUACUGGUGUAGCUCCACUAACUUCAACAGGCUGGUACUCUUUUACAGUGCUAGAACUUGAACUCCAGUUUCUUUUUUCUUCAUUAGAAUUUAAAAUAAGGCCUCAGGUCUGUUAUAUUUAAUGCAAAUAUACUUACUUGUUCUGUGAAAAAUGACUCUCAGCUUCUGCACUGUGAUUCAAAACUGCUUUGUCUUUUAAAUGUAAUUGUAAUGUAAUGCUUUGCCAAAAUCUGAACUCUUUCUACUUACACGUAUAAGAUGCAUCAUCUGAAUUAAAUGUCUUGCUAGAAAA